rnacentral:rRNA from 1 species
ACGUAGGGCGCAAGCGUUGUCCGGAAUUAUUGGGCGUAAAGAGCUCGUAGGCGGUCUGUUGCGUCCGCUGUGAAAACUCGGGGCUUAACCCCGAGCCUGCAGUGGAUACGGGCAGACUAGAGGUAGGUAGGGGAGAACGGAAUUCCCGGUGUAGCGGUGAAAUGCGUAGAUAUCUGGAGGAACACCGGUGGCGAAGGCGGCAUCCUGGACCGGCAUUGACGCUGAGGCGCGAAAGCCAGGGGAGCAAACGGGA